UACGAAGGGGGCUAGCGUUGUUCGGAAUUACUGGGCGUAAAGCGCGUGUAGGCGGGUCUUUAAGUUCGGGGUGAAAAUGCCAAGGCUCAACCUUGGAACUGCCUUUGAUACUGGAGAUCUUGAGUCCGGGAGAGGUGAGUGGAACUGCGAGUGUAGAGGUGAAAUUCGUAGAUAUUCGCAAGAACACCAGUGGCGAAGGCGGCUCACUGGCCCGGAACUGACGCUGAGACGCGAAAGCGUGGGGAGCAAACAGG
rnacentral:rRNA from 1 species